AGGGUUCGAUUCUGGCUCAGGAUGAACGCUAGCUACAGGCUUAACACAUGCAAGUCGAGGGGAAACGGCAUCAAGCGCUUGCGCCUGAUGGACGUCGACCGGCGCACGGGUGAGUAACGCGUAUCCAACCUGCCCCACACUAAGGGAUAACCCGCAGAAAUGUGGACUAAUACCUUAUAUUUUCCACCAAGGGCAUCGUCGAUGGAACAAAGAUUUAUCGGUAUGGGAUGGGGAUGCGUCCGAUUAGGUUGUUGGCGGGGUAACGGCCCACCAAGCCUUCGAUCGGUAGGGGUUCUGAGAGGAAGGUCCCCCACAUAGGAACUGAGACACGGUCCUA
rnacentral:rRNA from 1 species